rnacentral:tRNA from 2 species
GGCUCGGUAGCUUAGUUGGUAAAGCGCAAGAGUCCUGGGUUCAAAUCCCAGCCGAGCAC